CGGCCUCCCAAAGUGCUGGGAUUACAGGCAUGAAACACUGCGUCUGGCCUAUUUUCUCAUUUCUGAUAAACAUGUUGACCUUUAAAUUUUCAACCAUUGGGCUUAUUAGGGAGUCAGGGGAUUUCAUACCCACACAUGAAAAUUUGUAGGAGUGCUGGGCACAGUGGCUCAUACCUAUAAUCCCAAUGCUUUGGGAAGCUGAGGCAGGAGGAUCACUUGAGGCCAGGAGUUUGAGACCAGCCUGGCCAACAGAGCAAGAUCCCAUCUCUAUGUGACAUCUCUAUGGGAAAAAAUUUUAAAAAUUAUCCAACCAUGGUGACAUAUGCCUGUAAUCCUAGCUACUCAGGAGGCUGAGGUGGGAGGAUGGCUUGAGCCCAGGAGUUGGAUGUUACAAUGAGCUAUGAGCCACUGCACUCCAGCCUAAGCAACAGAGCAAGAUCCUAUCACUAUUAAAAAAAAAAAGAAAGAAAAAAGAAAAGGAAGAAAAUUUAUGGGGGCAAUAGUGGUUAUAGAAAGACUUUCACUAGCUGGGCGCAGUGGCUCAUGCCUAUAAUCCUGGCACUUUGGGAGGCCGAGGCAGGCAGAUCAUGAGGUCUAGGAGUUCGAGACCAGCCUGGCCAAUACAGUUACACUCCGUCUCUACUAAAAGUAUAACAAUUAGCUGGGCGUGGUGGCUCACGCCUGUAGUCUCAACUACUCGGAAGGCUGAGGCAGAAGAAUCGCUUGAACGCAGGAAGCAGAGAUUGCAGCGAGCCGAGAUGGUGCCACUGCACUCCACCCUGGGUGACAGAGCGAGACUCCAUCUCAAAAAAAAAAAAAAAAAAAAAAAAAAGACUUUUACUAAUAUCUGUAUCACCCGCAUUUAAUGUUUGUGGAAAUAAUGUUACCUUAUUUCCUAAUAAGUGUAAAGGGCGCAUUUUGGAAUGACAAUGGACCUCUCUUUCAUCACUGACUCCUGGUAAAUAUGUGUGACUUAAGCUACUUUGGGUGUUCAGGAAACAUGGCUGGGCACAGUGGCUCACGCCUGUAAUCCCAGCACUUUGGGAGGCCGAGGUGGGCAGAUCAUCUGAGGUCAGGAGUUCGAGACCAGCCUGGCCAACAUGGUGAAACCUCAUCUCUACUAAAAACAUAAAAAUUAGCCAAGCGUGGGUGGCACACACCUGUAAUCCCAGCUACCCAGGAGGCUGAGGCAGAAGAAUCGCUUGAACCUGGGAGGUGGAGGUUGCAGUGAGCCAAGAAGAUCGUGCCACUGCACUCCAGCCUGGGUGACAGAGUGAGACUCUGUCCAAACAAAAAAAAGAAAAAAAAAGAAACCUAUAAGCAAGAAAGGAGCUGAUCACCCUCAAGGAAACACAAAACUAUAAUCCCAACAUAACUGGUAACUUUUCCUGUGGCUUUUGAGUAGCAGUGGGGCAUCCUUGAUGACUGAGAGGGAAGGAUACCACUCACAGGCCAGAAGACUGCCUUGGCAGAGUCUGUUUCUCUCUCUCCUAUGGAACCAGUCUGGAGAAAUCUUCUACCCUCCUGAUGCUGCAAUUACUUUUCUACCUCACAGACUGGGGACAUUGAGGGGCUUCUAGUAAUGUGACUAUUGCUUUUUUUUUUUUUUUUUAGACUGGGUCCACUCCAGGCUGGAGUGCAGUGGCACGAUCUCAGCUCACUGCAACCUCCACCUCCCAGGUUCAAGUGAUUUCUGGCUAAUUUUUGUAUUUUUAGUAGAGACAGGGUUUCACCAUGUUGGCAAGGCUGGUCUCGAACUCCUGACCUCAAGUGAUCUGCCCACUUUGGUCUCUCAAAGUGCUGGGAUUACAGGUGUGAGCCACCACAUCCAGCCAGCUAUUGCUUAAUUAAGCACCUUCCCCCUAAAGGUAACCUGAACUUCAUGGUUCAAAAAGGUCACAUUUCACAGACAUGUUUGGGAAGCAUUAAUACAGCUAUUUUAAGUUGUAAUAAUAAAGACCGUAUCACUCUUUUGAAAGCAGUAAAGAUGGGUAUGACACAACGGAUCAUCAUUAGUGGAGUCUGGACUCUGCGUCAGGUACUCCAUCUUCAUUCUCUCUAAUCCUUACAGCAACCUAACAAGGUAGGACUAUUAAUCGUACUUUAAGGUAAAUUUACUCAUUUUACAGACAAGGAAUCUAGGAUCCAGAGGGGUUAAUACUCCCCUAGUAAUAAGUGGCAGUGCUGGGAUUCAAACUCAGCCCCGUUUGACUUCAAAGUCCCUGCCAUUCCCAUUUGGUCCUCUUUUAUCCUGGUUAUGCCUAGGGAUUGUCACUGGGUAGGUUCUGCUUUGUGAAGAACUAAUUAGGAAUUGAACUUGGAUGGCACUGUCAACUUUCACAGCGAGCUUUGUACAGUAAACUGUGACAAGAACCUGACAGCUCCAUGGGGUAGGUUUCUUGGCAGAGUAUCUAGGAGGGAGACCAGAGUAAUCUCAGCUAUUAUGAAGCUCUGCCCUGUCUGUGGAGAGUUUUAAAUGUCCAUGAAAGACAACGGUUAAGGGACCUGAGAGGGUCUGGAAACUCUUUACCUUCAAUAUGGAGACCUAUACAUGGAAAAAUUCUCUUGCUAGAAAGGGAAGGAUGGAUGUGGCAAGAAUGCAAGUGGACAGCAGCCCUUCAGGCCCACGGAAGGAAGCCAGGUUCAGCUGCUAACGAACAGCUCAGAACAAUGUCAACAACCAGGAGCUGGGGCCAUGGAGAGUUGAAAGAAACAGCACUAUAGCAGGCGGUUAAGUCUGCCAGAUUUAGCAAAUCAAAACAUACAAUGCCCAGCUAAAUUUGAAUUUCAGAUAAACAACGAAUUAUUUUCUAGUGUAAGUAUGCCCACGCACCAUUUUAUCUGGCAACCUCAGCAGGGGGUGACUUCCUGGGCUGCAUUUGGAGACUAACAGUAGGGAGCACUCCCUCCAUGAGGCCUUGGGACAAUGUAUACAGGAUGGGUCAUACUGUGGGUGGAUGUCAGUGUAGAAAGUGAACUUGGGAAAGCUUAUUGUCUUAAUAGGGAGCCAUGUAGCCCCUAAGUCCUCACAUUGCAACCUAGGGAGGGACAAACCAUCUGAGACUGCAAGAGAGGUAAAUGAAUUUUUAGGCUGAGGUGACUUAGAAAUUUUCAUCAUUGAGAUAAAGGCUUCACACUUAAGGUUUGAUCUGUUCUUCAAUUAAACUUCUUAUUAAUAAUAUAAUUGGAAGCAGUCUAUGAAAAAAGUUCUUAAUAGGAU
rnacentral:lncRNA from 1 species